rnacentral:rRNA from 1 species
UACACGACCGUACCGCAAACCGACACUGGUGCGCGAGAUGAGUAUUCUAAGGCGCUUGAGAGAACUCAGGAGAAGGAACUCGGCAAAUUGACACCGUAACUUCGGAAGAAGGUGUGCCUUUAGUAGGUGAAGUCCCUCGCGGAUGGAGCCCAAUGAGGUUGCAAAAAUCGGUGGCUGCGACUGUUUAUUAAAAACACAGCACUCUGCAAACACGAAAGUGGACGUAUAGGGUGUGACGCCUGCCCGGUGCUGGAAGAUUAAAUGAUGGGGUGCAAGCUCUUGAUUGAAGUCCCAGUAAACGGCGGCCGUAACUAUAACGGUCCUAAGGUAGCGAAAUUCCUUGUCGGGUAAGUUCCGACCUGCACGAAUGGCGUAACGAUGGCCACACUGUCUCCUCCUGAGACUCAGCGAAGUUGAAAUGUUUGUGAUGAUGCAAUCUCCCCGCGGAAAGACGGAAAGACCCCAUGAACCUUUACUGUAGCUUUGUAUUGGACUUUGAACAGAUCUGUGUAGGAUAGGUGGGAGGCUUUGAAGCAGGGUCGCUAGAUCUUGUGGAGCCAACGUUGAAAUACCACCCUGGUGUGUUUGAGGUUCUAACCUAGGCCCGUAAUCCGGGUUGGGGACAGUGCAUGGUAGGCAGUUUGACUGGGGCGGUCUCCUCCCAAAGUGUAACGGAGGAGUUCGAAGGUACGCUAGUUACGGUCGGACAUCGUGACGAUAGUGCAAUGGCAUAAGCGUGCUUAACUGCGAGACUGACAAGUCGAGCAGAUGCGAAAGCAGGACAUAGUGAUCCGGUGGUUCUGUAUGGAAGGGCCAUCGCUCAACGGAUAAAAGGUACUCUGGGGAUAACAGGCUGAUACCGCCCAAGAGUUCAUAUCGACGGCGGUGUUUGGCACCUCGAUGUCGGCUCAUCUCAUCCUGGGGCUGUAGCCGGUCCCAAGGGUAUGGCUGUUCGCCAUUUAAAGAGGUACGUGAGCUGGGUUUAAAACGUCGUGAGACAGUUUGGUCCCUAUCUUCCGUGGGCGCUGCAGAUUUGAGGAAGCCUGCUCCUAGUACGAGAGGACCGGAGUGGACGCACCUCUGGUGUAUCGGUUGUCACGCCAGUGGCAUUGCCGAGUAGCUAUGUGCGGAAGAGAUAACCGCUGAAAGCAUCUAAGCGGGAAACUCGUUUCAAGAUGAGAUCUGCCGGGGCCUUGAGCCCCCUGAAGAGUCGUUCAAGACCAGGACGUUGAUAGGUCGGGUGUGGAAGCGCAGUAAUGCGUUAAGCUAACCGAUACUAAUUGCUCGUGCGGCUUGACC